UCUCAUGGUACUGGCAUCUG
rnacentral:piRNA from 1 species